rnacentral:ribozyme from 1 species
CACCAGCGAUGAACUCGCACUUCUACGCAGUGCUGGUGACUAGUAGCCCACGUGGUGAAGCUAAGACGAGU